UACGGAGGGUGCAAGCGUUGUCCGGAAUCACUGGGCGUAAAGGGCGCGUAGGCGGCUCAUGAAGGCUGUGGUGAAAGUCCGGGGCUCAACCUCGGAUCGGCCGUGGCGACUCGUGGGCUGGAGCACUGUAGAGGCGGGUGGAAUUCCGGGUGUAGCGGUGGAAUGCGUAGAGAUCCGGAAGAACACCAGUGGCGAAGGCGGCCCGCUGGGCAGUGGCUGACGCUGAGGCGCGACAGCGUGGGGACGCAAACAGG
rnacentral:rRNA from 1 species